ACGGAAGGCAGCAGUGGGGAAUAUUGCGCAAUGGGGGAAACCCUGACGCAGCAACGCCGCGUGAGUGAAGAAGUAUUUCGGUAUGUAAAGCUCUAUCAUCGGGGACGAUAAUGACGGUACCCGAAUAAGAAGUCCCGGCUAACUACGUGCCAGCAGCCGCGGUAAUACGUAGGGGACAAGCGUUAUCCGGAUUUACUGGGUGUAAAGGGUGCGUAGGCGGCAAAUCAAGUCAGAAGUGAAAGCCCGCGGCUCAACUGCGGGACUGCUUUUGAAACUGAUUAGCUAGAGUACUGGAGGGGUAAGCGGAAUUCCUGGUGUAGCGGUGAAAUGCGUAGAUAUCAGGAAGAACACCGGAGGCGAAGGCGGCUUACUGGACAGAGACUGACGCUGAGGCACGAAGGCGUGGGGAGCAAACAGGAUUAGAUACCCUGGUA
rnacentral:rRNA from 1 species